GCCGACACGUUUACUUUGAGAAAACCAAAGUGUUUAAAGCAGGCGCAAGACGCCAGAAUGACUGUGCAUGGAAUAAUGGAAAAGGAUCUCGUUUCUGUCUUUGUUGGUUCUUCGGAAGACGAGAUAAUGAUUAAUAGGAACAGACGGGGGCAUUCGUAUUGCGACGUUAGAGGUGAAAUUCUUGGAUCGUCGCACGACGAACUAUUGCGAAAGCAUUUGCCAAGAAUGUUUUCGUUAAUCAAGAACGAAAGUUAGAGGUUCGAAGGCGAUCAGAUACCGCCCUAGUUCUAACCAUAAACGAUGCCGACUGGCGAUCCGCCCCAGUUAAUUACACGACUGGGCGGGCAGCCUCCGGGAAACCAAAGUCUUUGGGUUCCGGGGGAAGUAUGGUUGCAAAGCUGAAACUUAAAGAAAUUGACGGAAGGGCACCACCAGGAGUGGAGCCUGCGGCUUAAUUUGACUCAACACGGGAAACCUCACCAGGCCCGGACACCAAAAGGAUUGACAGAUUGAGAGCUCUUUCUUGAUUUGGUGGGUGGUGGUGCAUGGCCGUUCUUAGUUGGUGGAGCGAUUUGUCUGGUUAAUUCCGAUAACGAACGAGACUCUAGCCUGUUAACUAGCCAGUGGAUCAAUAAAUUGAACGCGGCGAAAUCGGGGCACCCUUUAUGGGCGUGUUUCUGGUGGUAGUCGCGUCUACUGCGUCUUCUUAGAGGGACAGGCGGCGCUUAGCCGCACGAGACGGAGCAAUAACAGGUCUGUGAUGCCCUUAGAUGUCCUGGGCCGCACGCGCGCUACAUUGAAGGAAUCAACGUGCACUCCCAGCCCGAGAGGGCCGGGUAACCCGCUGAAAUUCCCUCGUGAUAGGGAUCGGGGAUUGCAACUAUCCCCCGUGAACGAGGAAUUCCCAGUAAGCGCGAGUCAUGAGCUCGCGUUGAUUACGUCCCUGCCCUUUGUACACACCGCCCGUCGCUACUACCGAUUGAAUGAUUUAGUGAGGCCUUUGGACUGGCUCGCCGGUGCACGCCUUCUGGUUGUUGCGCUGGUUAUCGGGCCGGGAAGCUGGCCAAACU
rnacentral:rRNA from 1 species